ensembl:lncRNA
GGGAAAGAACAAAGCCAGCUGAUGCCCUUGCUCCAGUCGAUGGGGGUACAUACAACCCUGUCUGGAGGAGUGAAGUCAGGACAGGACUCAACUGAGAUCCCAGUGAUGACUCCAUUGCCUUGGGUGUAGUAACGAAGACGUGGCCACUGCAGGGUUGUGGUCUGGUUUUUAAACAUAACAUGGCAAGUUAGUGAAACAUUAAAAUGCAAGAGAUCAUUAUAUUCAAGACUUUCUCUUCCCUGCUCCUUCUCCUAAAGGGGAAAUCAGACACACAGGAUUGUAGACUUCUGCCACCACUUGCCAUGGGUGGGUGCAGUUGGACACCAGCUUAAGGCAGAAAGGACAAAGCUGAGGAUGAGCUGAAAGUGCUUGCACCAGCCCCACGGCUCCAUGCUCCUCCAGUGUGUUUUUGAGUAGCAUCAUGCUUCUGAGAAUAUGUUCCUUAGAGGACUUGGUGAAAAAGAAUAAGAGCAUGAUAAGCAAGACCAAAUAAAUAUUACAUAAACUUAUUUUCAUAAGUAAAUCUCAAGGUACUUUACAAUGGAAGGUCCAUCUUUUUUCCUUUAUGCAACACGAGAAACUGAGGCACAGAGAAAGUACAUAAAUAAAUAUAAAUUAUAAAUUCUUCAGAUUUUGUCUUGAACAGAAAUCAGAAUUUACAAUUCAUUGGUUAUUCUGAAAUAAAAAAUAAAAUAUAAAAUAUUGAAAGGGAGAAAAGUAAACUGGAACUUUGUUGUCAACAUUAGACAGGAAGCUAGAAAAUGUUGUCACUUUAACCCAGGGAAUGUCCUUCGUCAUUGUAUAUUACAGUGUUAAAAAGGUAUAAUCAGUAGUACAGAUUAAAAGUCAAAUAACAGUAAUUAUAAUGAUGAAAUAUAUCUUUUAUUGAAAUAUGUCAUAUUAAAAAGAAAUAAAAUGAACAGUGUACAUUAUUCUCAAUUGACAAUUUUGUUUAUACAAUCAAAUUUCUGCAAAAUACUCCAACUAUGAAAACAAAGUUUUUUUUUUUAAUGGAAAGGGGUUUAGUUUAUCUUAAGACUUGAUGUGGUGACAUUAUGUUGGCUGUGUUUUAUGCUGUGGAUUUACUGUCAUACCCAGUGACGUCAGCACAGACCACGUCAUUAAGUUAGGGGUUCACCACUUCAACCAAGUGUUUAGCUUUCUGGGUUGAAGGUUUGGAGAAAUUUAUUUGUGGGAUAAAUGGAGAUUUAGGCUGUUGAAGCAUAAGUGUUGUUUAGAAAAUAUGUGCUAUUUACAUUGUGCACAAAACUAUAUGAGACACAGAUAUAAGAAUGUAUUACUAUGUAUAUAUCUAGUAUAAACACACCAUGAUUAAAUAUCAUUUGUUCUGUAAUUGUCAAUUGAGAAAAUAAAUUGUAAGACAAAAGCAUUGGUAAUGAUUGAACACAGACAGUUUAAUCAAGCAGCAACUUUUGAAGAAGUAAUUUUGUCCUAAAAGUCAAAAGUAAGUAAAGCCAUAAUUGAACUUAAACUGCUGAAGUUCAAAUUAAAGCACAUAUUCACCAUCAAUGACUGUGCCUAAAGACACAGGCAGUGAUACAGAGGCAGAAGUGAGAAGCACAGCUGGUUCAAGCACAGCUGGCACCUCCCUGGGAAAGUGCCAAUAAUCCCUCUGACACAUGCAAGGCUCCCAGUGCUGGAGAAAACCAAGAAUACAGGGCUAAAAUUUGGCAGCUACUUAUCAGCAUGUGAUUUAGUGACAUAAGAUAGCUAAGUACAUAAUUACCUAUAUAUAUAUUUUUUAAUUCUCAAAAUACUGCUGGUGCACAGGAGUUCUCAAUGGGAAUCAGGAAGAAAUCUGGGAGACUUUCCAAGUGCAGGAUUGGAAGGCUUACAUAGUCACAAUUAUGAUUUUAGAAAAACAGACCACAAAUAUGUCACGCAGACUGGAGAGUGUGAUGUAUAGAUAAACACAUACACACUGCAUUGAUUGUAUUUUGUAACAAAAGGGAUGAAGACCAGCAUGUGUGUCUUUGACAGGAUAGCUCAAACAAAAAUCACAUGUACAGCAAACAUUCCCCAUAAUUCUUGAAAUUAGGCAAAAGUGUGUUAAAACUCCAAGUUGCACAAGGACUUAAAAUGCUUGUAUGCAGUUUGGGAAAUGAUUGAAGGAAAAUAGAAAGUGUCUGUGACAAGAAAGCAAAAAGACAGCUUUGAGAUGAUGGUAACAUAUUUUUAGAGCAUAAGUAAGUUCUCUUAAAAUCAGUUCUCUCUAUGCUUGUUCAUUACUCCUAGUCAUAUUACUAGAAAUUCCUUCAACGUACCUGGGAGCACAAAUUAACAUAAUAUUAGCAAUGAAUCUACUGACAUAUUUCAAGUACUUGGACUACUGUGAACUGAGAGAUUGAGUCAAUUUUAAGAGAUCACUUAAAAUCAACUUCAGUACAUUGUUUCUCCUGGUGUGAAGUAAUGUGGUUAUGUGGUCUCACUCAACAAAGUCGUGCCUGCGUGGAGCAGCUGGUGUGCCUGAUCUUCACGUGUGGUCUCCCCUUGAUUUUGCUGGAUUCAGGAUCAUCUGCAGAGAGCACAUGUAUCUGGAUAAUGGAUUUGCCUCACUGAAAUUGCAGCCUUCAAGACAGACCAGCAGCUCAGCAGUGCACCUGGAUACUUUAGCAGGAAAUGAAGCUGUUUGGAAUACAAAGGAAAAAAAAAUCUGCAUGGGUCAUGUUUUUCAUAUGAAAAUAAUUAGAUAUUGUAGAUAUUCCUUCCCCUCUCUGGAUGAUUCUCACAGAUCAAUGAGUGGAG